CAAAAAGACCGGCGCGUUUAAAGUCUCAAGNACUGUNGGCCGGUUGCGUUUUAAAGAUCUCAACACUGGCCGGUCGUUUGACAUGCCUAAUACAUGCAGUCGACGACAGAAGACUUGCUCCUGACUCGGGGACGGUGAGUACACUGGGCACUACUUAUAUGUGGGAUAACCCGGACGGGCUUCCGAAUAAUCUAUUUNACUAUCAUGGUAAAAUACUUGAAAAGACGGUUUCGAGCUGUCGCUAUAAGAUAGGGCCCGUCAGGCGUCAUUAGUCUAGUUAGAGUAGAUGGUAACGGCUCAACCAAGGCGACGAUUGCGUAGCCAGUCCUGAGANGGUAGAUCUGGCNCACACUGNGAACUUGAGCACAACGGCCCAGGACUCCUAAACGAGGAGAGGCAGGCAGAUAAGAGGACAUNCUNGAGCCACAAAAAGGGCGAAAGCCUAGCAUGGNAGCAACGACCGACGGUAGAGUAGAAGAAAGGUUNUACGGCAUCGAAAAAACUCAUAGGUAUAGGAACAACGGGGGGACACGGAAACAGAGAACCAAAGGAAGGUAAAAACCAAGAGCGAUAGAUAACCCAUAUGNACUGGGAAAACACCAUNUAAUAUACGGAAAAAGCCCAACCAGGGGCUAAACAUAACCCGGAUGCCCAAAAGACACAGACACCGCCGGAGAAAGAUUACCGGUAGGGUAGGGCCAAACACCGAGUUAGGUCCCGGGACACAACAUAAAAAUAGGAGCCGAAAACA
rnacentral:rRNA from 1 species